CUUUAAGAAACUGAAGGUCCUUUGAUGUAGAACAUCGAGUGAGUCUGUGCAGUUGUGCCGUGUGCUCUCUUGCUGGGUCCAUGUGACUCAGGCACCUCUUUGGGGUCUGUGCCCCAUCUCCCCACCAGCCACUAGGGCUGCAUCCCACCCAGGUCGUAAGCAGAACUCUACCCAAAGCCCUCCAGGGACCUGAGUGACCUGUGCUUGUGGCUGUUACCUUUUAACUGCUGACCGAGCUCAGGGAGAAGGUUCCUGUCUGACCCCUUCUAUGUAUCUACGGGCACACAUGUAGCAUGUCACAGACCAAGCCUAGGGGUUAGCUCAGGGGGAGCAGUGUGGAGACCGCUCCUGACUGGCCACAGCGACUGUUGGAGUUUUGCAUGAUCUGGAAUGCAGGUGACCAGUGGCCCAUCUGUCUGGGCGUCAUGCAAAUAAGCCACCUCAGGAAGUUCAGGCGUGAGGCGAGAAGUUUGGCUCUAGCUUCCUGUUCCCUUGUCUCCUUGCCAACCCAUCUCCUGCCCUCUCCAGUGACAGACCCCUGUUGCUCUGUUCUGAGGGACUCAAUCCCAGGGUGAUCCUAGGGCCACUCCUAAACUUCCAGUGUUGCCCAGUUCUCGGCUUCACCCUGCGGUACAGUUGAGUGAAGAACGCAGACAGUUCACUGACAGUCCAAGUGACUCCCUGACUGUAGGCCACUCUCUCCCCAGGCCAUGGGGACCAGAGCAGUGCUGUAGAGUCUCACAGUCAGCAUCUGGCUGCUGGCUAAUGACUGCUUUAUCUCCAGUAGCUGACUGAUGAUAACUUGACUGUCCCCAGAGCCCCUCCCCUCUCCCCCUCUCUCUCUCCUUCCAUACUGCUGCGGGCCACUCUGACCUCUAAAUCGAGUUACACUUUGACCCAGGGAAGGAUGAGCUGAGGGCCAGGCUGCUGGUAAAGACAUCUGCAGGGCUCUUUAGAUUCUGAAGGGGCAGGCCUGUGUUGGGGGAGUUCCUGUCCUCUGAAGAGACUCGGAGCUUCUGGCCUGACUUGAAUAUUGUCACUUCUCUUGAACAGAGACCUUCAGUUUUGCUUCUCACCAGGACCUGAAAGGCACACAGGGGUCUCAGCACCAAGCUUGCUCCCCAGACCCUAGCAGGGAAGAUCACAGGGUAUCGUGCAGGUAUUCAGGACCCGUUUUGCAUCUCCCAAUAGAUGUCCCUGUGGAGCAGUGUCCCUGGGAUAGCUCAUUCAUUCUGGCCUCUCCUCUAGCCACUUUGGAUCUCUUGACACUGCAUCUCUCAACACCACCAUGGUUCAAAUCUAAAUGUCGCCCGUGGGCGUGAUCACCCGUGAAAAAAAAUUGGUCACCAGAUGUGACAGGGUUCUGGAAACUUGUGUGGGACCUGCCUAGAGGAAGUAGGUUAAUGGAGGUGUGUGUAGACCUUCCCAUUUCCUGUCUGCCAUGAGUCCCUGGACCCUCCUCCCUCCCUUCCUCCUCCCCUCCCUCCCUCCCUCCCCUUCCUUCCCUCCCUCCCUCUCUCUGCUUCCUGUCAGCCCCCUCUACUGCCAGCUUUCCCUCCACAAUGUGCAGCCUUCAUAAACUGCCCUUCCUGAAACCAGAAGCCUGAACAAACCUCCACAGCAUUUCUCCGUUUCCCGUGGCCUGGGAAGAGAGUGGCCUACAGUCAGGGGGCUCCGCUUCAAGUUGUUUUAUCAUAUAUUUUGGUCACGUGACGAGAAAGGUAGUUCAUACUGCCACAUGCUCUGGUCACGCUCUGGGCCAUCUUCCCAGCAGCUUGGGUGGCAGCAACCAUCGGCCAUACAGAGCCCAGGAGGUUUCCAGCAGAAGGUGUGGCCCAGAUUAAAGAUACAAACCGCUACACCUGGAACUUGGACUUGCUUUGUCCCAGGCUGACCUUGAACUCAGAGAUCUCCUUGCCUCAGUCUCCUGGAAUUAAAGGUGUGUACUACCUUGCUUGGGCCUGCGAUUUUCAUGGCCACUGUCCCUCAAGAUCUCCAUGCCAAGAUCCAGGUCAGAAACUUGUGUCUUCCAGCCUCAAGAUCUGGAUCACAGGUGUGCUCUCUGAUUCUGGGUUGUAGUUCAUUCCAGAUAUAGUCAAGUUGACAACCAGGAAUAGCCACUACAACCCACAUGGUGGGAAGAGAGAACUGACUCCUACAAUUUGCCCUUUGAUCUUUAUACCGUCGAAGGCCCUUGAGAAUCCACUCACACAUCACACACACAACGAAGUGUAAUAAUAACUUAAGGACAAGAAAGAUGGAGUUCCAGUCUGUUUUCUAUGAGUUUCUGUAUCCUGAGCAGGUCUAUGGUGGCUAAUGUUGAUUGUCACCUGAGAGGAUCUAGACUCAGGUAAGAGACAGAGUUCUGGGUGUGCUUUUCUAGGUUGUUUUAAUUAAGGUGGGAAGACCCACUUGAAUGCAGGCAGAGGUUCCCAACAGAAGAAAAAGGAGAGAGUAAGCAGAGCACCAGCAUCCAUCUCUCAGCUUCCUGACUGUGGAUACAAUGUGACCAGCUGCCUCAUGCUUCUGCUGCCCUGCCUUCACUGCCAUGAUGGAAUGGACCCUCAAACUGUGAGCCAGAACCAGCCUUCCCUCUCCUAAGUUACCUGUGUCAGCCAGCUGCCACCUGUCCCACCUCUCUGGGUCUCACCACACUCACAACAAAGGGGUGACAAAUUGCAGCUGGCUGCCUGGGCACUGGAAAGAGCCAAUGAGGCGGUGUUGGUGGUCUGGAGACACCAGUGUUGGGACCCUGGAACUGGGCAGGGCAAGUUUCUCAAGCAUUUUGUUGCAACAAUCAGGAAGUAGGUACCCCAGGGUCCUGCCUGAGAUUGUGUGUCCACCACAGCCACCACAGCUGCCACGCCUCCGCAGGCUCUCCAGUCUGCAGUGGCUUUCCCAUUGCCUCUGGCUUGUAGUGAUUUUGACCAUUUUGGGGAGCACAGCCAAGGGGUUUAUGACAUGCUCCUACCACAGUGAGGAUUCCAGGAUAUUUAGGUCAUCAGACCUGAUGGCAAGUGUCUUUACCAGCUAAGUCAUCCCCUCAGCUGUGCCUCCCCAGCCCAUUGUGUGUGUGUGUGUGUGUGUGUGUGUGUGUGUGAGGGGGGGGGGUUGGUGUCUGUUCUGUGUGUCCCUGGCUGACCUCAACCUUACUAUGUACCCAAGGAUGACUCUGCCUCCACCUCUAAGGGAUGUAAUUUCAGGUUGUCUUAGAGUUACUAUUGCUGUGUUGAAACACCAUAACCAAAAAGCAAGUUGGGGAGGAAACAGUUUAUUUGGCUUACACUUCCACAUCACGGCUCAUCAUCAAAGGAUGCCAGCACAGGAACUCAAGCAGUGUAGAAACCUGGAGGUAGGAGAUGUUGCAGAGGCUACAGAGGCUACAUGUGUCUUCCCCAUGUCUUGCUCAGCCUGCUUUCUUAUAGAACCCAGGACCGCCAGCUCAGGGAUGCUCCCCACACACAAUGGGCUGGGCCAUCCCCUAUCAAUCACUAGCUAAGAAAACCCCUAUAGGGUUGCAUACCACUGGAUCUUAUGGAGAUAUUUUCUUAAUUGAAGUUCCCUCCUCUCAGAUGACUUGACUUUGUCUCAGUUUAACAUAAAACUAGCCAACACACACACACACACACACACACACACACACACACACACACACAUAUAUGUCACCAUAUCAGCUUUUAUGUCCCUGAUGCCUUUCUUAGGAUCAUUGUGAGGAGCGGGUAUGGCAGCAGUCCCAAGAUGGCGCCCGGGACUGCAGCCAAGUCUUAUGACUUGCACCUGACUUCCUCAUACACCUGAAAAUAAGCCACAUCGUGAGAGUUGCGCAGGUGCACCAUGAUGCAAGAUCUGACCAUAUGGUUAUAUAAGGG
rnacentral:lncRNA from 1 species